UUAUCAGUGGGGUCCUAAUGCCUGUUGGCUGAAUCUUGUAGCCGUAAGCCUAGCAACGUGAUGGCGGCGCCCGCAAGAGCGCAGGUGAUCUCUUUGUACAGGAUGCUCUUAAGAGAAAGUUUUAAAUUCCCUUCAUACAAUUACAGGAAAUACGCAGUGCGGCGUGUACGCGACGCUUUCAGGGUCAACAAGAAUGUGAAUGAGCCAAAGUUGGUGGAGAGGCUGAUGCUGGAGGGCCGCCAGUCACUGGCCAUGAUACAGAGACAGGUGGCCGUGGGCGCUAUGUUCCAGGCCCAGAAGACUGUGGUGGAGUUCGAGUAGUAGCAAGAGGAGGAAGUCACAUCACAUCGGCCAAUCAGCUUCCAGCUUGUGAGGUGGGCGGGGCAUCAUGGGAGGUUAUGCACUCUUUGGAUGUUUCAUCACGAAACUCAAAUAAAAACGCGUUGACUCGUUCCAGCGUCACGGUGGCCACGUUGGAGCCAGUGGGAAAGAGGCCACGCCUCCUGCACCAUUUCAAGUGUGACAUCACAGACAAUAUCAAGAGCAAAUUGCAUCCAUCCCUUGGUCCCACGGCAGCA